UACGUAGGGUGCAAGCGUUAUCCGGAAUUAUUGGGCGUAAAGAGCUCGUAGGCGGUCAGUCGCGUCUGCUGUGAAAACUCGGGGCUUAACCCCCGGGCCUGCAGUGGGUACGGGCUGACUAGAGUGCGGUAGGGGAGACUGGAAUCCUGGUGUAGCGGUGAAAUGCGCAGAUAUCAGGAGGAACACCGGUGGCGAAGGCGGGGUCUCUGGGCCGUAACUGACGCUGAGGAGCGAAAGCGUGGGGAGCGAACAGG
rnacentral:rRNA from 1 species